AGUGGGGGAUAACGUAGCGAAAGUUACGCUAAUACCGCAUAUGCCCUGAGGGGGAAAGGKGGGGAUCGCAAGACCUAUCGCUUUCGGAGUGGCCGAUAUCAGAUUAGCUAGUUGGUGAGGUAAAGGCUCACCAAGGCGACGAUCUGUAGCUGGUCUGAGAGGACGACCAGCCACACUGGGACUGAGACACGGCCCAGACUCCUACGGGAGGCAGCAGUGGGGAAUUUUGGACAAUGGGGGCAACCCUGAUCCAGCCAUGCCGCGUGAGUGAAGAAGGCCUUCGGGUUGUAAAGCUCUUUCGGACAGAAAGAAAUCGCACUUACUAAUACUAGGUGUGGAUGACGGUACUGUAAGAAGAAGCACCGGCUAACUACGUGCCAGCAGCCGCGGUAAUACGUAGGGUGCGAGCGUUAAUCGGAAUUACUGGGCGUAAAGCGUGCGCAGGCGGUUUUGUAAGACAGRUGUGAAAUCCCCGGGCUUAACCUGGGAACUGCAUUUGUGACUGCAAGGCUAGAGUGUGGCAGAGGGGGGUAGAAUUCCA
rnacentral:rRNA from 1 species